GAAAUGCGAUACGUAGUGUGAAUUGCAGAAUUCCGUGAACCAUCGAAUCUUUGAACGCAUAUUGCGCUCGAGCCCUCGGGCAAGAGCAUGUCUGCCUCAGCGUCGGUUUACACCCUCACCCCUCCCACUUUUGUUGGGUGUGUUGGCUUCUAUGCCAGCCAUAGGGGUGGAUCUGGCUUCCCCAAUUCGCUGUAGUGGAUUGGGUUGGCUGAAGUAUAGAGGCCUAAGCAAGGACCCGAUAUGGGCUUCAACUGGAUAGGUAGCACCGGCUUUCGCCGACUACACGAAGUUGUUGCUUGUGGAUCUUGCUAGAGGCCAAGCAGGAACGUGCCUUUGGCAUGUCUAAACUUUCGACCUGAGCUCAGGCAAGGCUACCCGCUGAACUUAAGC
rnacentral:misc_RNA from 1 species